UACGUAGGGUGCAAGCGUUGUCCGGAAUUAUUGGGCGUAAAGCGCUCGCAGGUGGUUCGAUGCGUCGUGCGUGAAAGACCCCGGCUCAACUGGGGAGGGUCGUGCGAUACGGUCGAACUGGAGGCCAGUAGGGGGAUGCGGAAUUCCGGGUGUAGUGGUGGAAUGCGUAGAGAUCCGGAGGAACACCAGCGGCGAAGGCGGCAUCCUGGACUGGUCCUGACACUCAGGAGCGAAAGCGUGGGGAGCGAUCCGG
rnacentral:rRNA from 1 species